AAAGUUUUAGUUUAAUAGAAAACAAUUCUUUGUCAAAGAAUAAAUAUAAUAAUUAUAAACUUUU
rnacentral:tRNA from 1 species